UAUUCUGAGUCAGACCCGACAAAGGGCAAAAAAUAGAAGGAAGUAAUACCUGAUAAAGCCUCCGAGAGCGAGGUGGAGAUGCUGAAGGAUCAUUUGUUUAGUUUUUGCAAACAAAACGAAUUCGAAUCGACCCAGUGUGCCUCUAAGCUCUUCCGCUUUUCUGGGUCUCCCUUCAUAUCCAGAUGCAGAGGAAGUGUUGCAGUUACCAGGAAGGAAGUUUUAACCAAGUUGAUUAUACGUGUGAUUGCUCAUUUUAAAAGUGUCAGAAAUGCAUUUCCUGUUAUAGCACAGAGGGAAGCACGAGAGUGAACGAUGUUUACGGGUUUCCUAUACUAGAGUUCAUCCACAAUCUGGGUUCUCCUGGACACUAGCUGAGCCCCAGGAACAACAGGGAGGAUGGUGCUGGCCUCAUAGCUUUCUUGGAGGACCAUGUUUUUCUUAUCAGUAGAUCUACAAGACCUUCUGUAUCACUCCCAACCAUCGCAAGAAUGACAAGCAUCAGGAGGGAUACAGAGAAAGACUUUGCUAACGGAAGAAGCUGACAGAAGCUGAGGAAACCACAUAGACGAGAACAGAACGUAUAAAAAUGGAGAUGUCUUCAUGCCUGAAAAAACGUGGGCCCUAAGUCUACCCAAGGAACCAAGCUUGAAUCUGUCUUAAAGAAUAAGCUGGGUCACCUGGCGAGCAGGCCGGAAGACGGGAAUUGGAGGGGCAAUCAUCCAGUACUACAGAGGUCGGAAAGCAGGAAACUACGUUCGUUGGAC